GGGGAUGUGACUCAGUGGUAGAGUGCUUGCCUAGAAUGCUUAAGGCCCUGUGUUCAAUUUCCAGCACUCCCA
rnacentral:tRNA from 1 species